ACGAUCCUCAUCCAAAAACUUUUAUAAACUUCUGGCUGUCAGCGAUCGUGCUGUAUAUAAUCUUUUAAAGCUUCAUUUUGACUCGGCGCUGACAAUCUGAGUACUGAUUCCAUUCCACUCAUCUAUCGCUAUCUGAGAACCAGUUUCUUCAUAUCUUCUUGUUAAAUCUAACUUUGUCAAGCUUGAACCCAUUAGUUUUUAUAUAUUGGUUACUAAUUCUAUGAAUUUUGUGUAUAUUCCGAUUUGCUGUCCGUAAGAGAGCGAGCAGCCUGUCAGUGAGGUCACUAAGUAGGAGGAGGCAGUAGACACCUGCCAAAACAUUAAUUACUCCCAGUGAGGUGUCGAACACAAGAUCAGGGGGUGCUGCGAACUUACCAGUGACCCAGCUGAGGCUGGGUCGUCUCAGCUGACUCAGUCUCAGUCGGACUCAGCUGGGGCGUCUACUCGAAACUAUCGCACUACAAGUUAUUUCAGUCAGUCGGAGGUGACUAUAGUACUUCACCUCACUGCAACACCACUCCUCGUUCUCCUUAUUUCUUUUACUAAUUCUCUGCUGACUUAACCUUCUGUCCCUGCCUCGCCAGACAUCGCCAGUAAACAGGUGGUAAUCUAGUUUGAGGCAAAGGGCUUACAUUAAGCUCUCGUCAAGAAGGUGAAAAUUGACUUAACAGGGAGAGGAUAGCGAGGUGAAGUUCCUUUCGGUCAAUGUUUGAGUCAAGAAUCGCGUCUGUAGUUGAUAAUGGUUCACGAUACAUUUUCUGGGUCGUCUCCUUGCUCUGGUUGAUCAGUAACAUUUUUCCGGUGUAACAAAAUACUAAAUCCCCAAAGGCAUGGUAAUCCUGAACCGAAAAUCGGCACCACGCAUGAUUCUUCGGCACAGCCAGGCGUAUGACAUUGUGUGAGUUCCGUCGGGCUGAUUCUUCCCUAUACGGUCUUCCCUUGGAGCUCCUCGUUCUAUAAUACUCAAAUCGUUUCUUACCGCGUCUUAAAAGUAUACAUUUUUGGUAUUAUAUAUCAGUUACUUGCCUCUUGAUGGCUGUGGUCCAGCGCGACAAGUUGGUCCGCUGCGCGGCGCUAACAGGUUACGGAGAGAGUUGACGGGUGGUUGUAAGCGCGGCUCGCCAUUUCCCCCACCCAGCCCGAGGAAGUUCGUAGACUUCUAGACUUGUGAUUAUGUAGCUUCGCCCUUAUAGUUAAAAAAAAAAAAAAAAAAGUACUCCAUGUUUUUACCGAGAUUAGUGUUGCGGGGAAUAUUGCAGAGUUGAUACAUGAAUGGGAGUUUUAGUACAAGUGAACAUUAAUUUGGCAACAACCACCUGUGAGUGUCUUGUGAUCGCGUAGUGCUGCCUCCAGGUGCUGGCAGGCCCCCUGUGGUGAUGGGGGCCGCGCUGCACAUCCUGCUGCUCAUCGCUCACGCAGCCCUCGCCGCCGCCACCAAGGCAGAUUAAGCGUUGCGUGCAUUGUUACCAGAACCAGUAGAGUAUUGCGUGUACAUCAGUGUUGCCAGAACCGAAUAAUGUGUUAACGUACAUCAUUGUUACCAGAACCGAGUAUCGCCUCUACAUCAGCGUUACCAGAACCGAGUAUUGCGUGUAUAUCAGUGUUACCAGUCAAAGCCACCAGCGUUACCAGAUGGAAGAGGAUUGAGAUGCGUGGAGGGAGACGCAAAGUGGAGGAAAGAGGAAGAAAACCCCCUCCAACUACCCUCCCAUUACUCUUCCAUCCACGACCACCCUCCCACGACCCUCCAGCGACCACCACGACCAGGAGGGAAUCGCGAGUCGUCCAGGUCGUCCUAACAAGACCCGAUGGCAGUCUGCAUGGCCAGUCUGCAUGGCCACGUCCUCCUACACCAGGUGCAGCUGCUUCUCCUCUUCCUCCUGCGUGCCACAUCACUUGGGUCUCCUGGUUCACGUUGAUGAGCAGCGGCCAACUGCACCGUCUGUGGGCCACACCUGUGCACCCUUGCUUACCUUGCACCACUAAUGAAGGACACCAAGCAGAGGUACAUCAAGAAGUUCACUUUCUGGGCUGAAGAGAGCUUGGCAGGAUUGUAAGAGCUGACCAAGACUGACUGACUGGCUUAGUGAUGUGUUGGCCUGUGUGUGUGUGUUUGAUAGUCUUCAAGUGCUGUAGGGGCAUGAGAGUGACUUGAAUGUAUGUGAGUAAAUGAUAGAUCAAGUGGUGUAGGGGAUGAGACAAGGUGACCUAAAGUUGAUGAUAGCAUGUUCAUGGGAGGUUUUUUUUUAUUGCAUUAUGAUUUGGAGAGAGAGAGAGAGAGAGAGAGAGAGAGAGAUCUACAUACAGUUAGACAAGCAGCAGUGCGUUGCAGAAGGUUGUCCUAACUUAUGGUCAUGCACGCUGUUUGGGUGGCGAGGCAGAGUUUAAAUGUGGCAACAUAGAACACCUCCGUGGAUUGGCAGGAAUUAGCGAGUCAGUGACGUUCACCAGCCGCACCACUGAGGGAGCCCCACAUCCAACCAAUACAACAAACAGCCCAGAGUCCCCAGACUGAAGAGGCCAACGAGGACGGUUUGGACGACCUACAGGAGGAACUAGUAACCUUGUUAAGAACAGCUCGGAAGGAAGUACGAGUAAUGCACAAUUGACACACUACAGGCAAGUAACUGCUGACCUGGAGGAUAAAAGGAGUGUGUCAGUGGAGGCCUUGUCAGUAGGGUGUCGGGCCAUCUCGGCCCAUCGCUGUCUCGGCCCAUUUCAAACGCCAACUCGGCCCAUUUAUAUGAGCAACUCGGACCAUCUGUACAAGCUAUACACCAUUGUCUUUAAGAGACUUUUUGCAUAAGGUUGAACUAAUUUAAUCCAAUAAUCACUCACUCACCAUCGCAAUUAGCAAUGAUAUGUAAAAUGUUGUAUAAAGUUUUCGGGAGAGACU